rnacentral:rRNA from 1 species
AACCUUUAGCUAAACAAAUAUUAAAGGCAACGCCUGCCCAGUGAAUAAUUAAACGGCCGCGGUAUCCUAACCGUGCAAAGGUAGCAUAAUCAUUUGUCCAUUAAUUGUGGACUCGCAUGAAAGGCAAAAUGAGAGCCCAACUGUCUCUUAUAACUAAUCAAUUAAACUGAUCUCCCAGUACAAAAGCUAGGAUGCCACCAUAAGACCAGAAGACCCUGUGAAGCUUUAACUAACCUAUUAGAUCUAAUAAUAGCUAAUUUCGGUUGGGGCGACCUUGGAACAAAAAAGAACUUCCAAUACAUGACCUCCUCAUACAAAAGGCAAACAAGCCACAUUAGACCCAGUAUAUCUGAUUGAUGAACCAAGUUACUCCAGGGAUAACAGCGCUAUCUUCUUCAAGAGCCCAUAUCAAAAAGAAGGUUUACGACCUCGAUGUUGGAUCAGGACAUCCUAGUAAUGCAACCGUUUCUAAGGGUUCGUUUGUUCAACGAUUAACAGUCCU